rnacentral:rRNA from 1 species
CAGUUUACCAGCCCUAUUUAAUAUAACCAACAACUGUAACUAUAAUUUAUAUUUAUUAAUAAACCAUUAAUUCUAUUAGUAUCGGCGAGAGAAACAAAAUUAGGAGCACUAAAUGUAGUACCGUAAGGGAAAGUUGAAAAACCAUGAAAUAAAAUAAAGCCAAAAAAAGCAAAGAUUAAUCCUUGUACCUUUUGCAUCAUGGUCUAGCAAGAUAAUGGGCAAAAAGAAUUUAAGUCUAAUACCCCGAAACUAAACGAGCUACUUUGGGGCAGCCAAAGAGCAAACCCUUCCAUGUGGCAAAAUGGUGGGAUGACCCCUCAGUAGAGGUGAAAAGCCAACCGAGUUUAGAGAUAGCUGGUUACUCGAAAAAUGAAUAUAGUUCAUCUCUGGUUUUUCCAAAAAUCACCUUAAAAGAUCUUUCGAUAAAACUAGGAGAUAGUUAAAGGGGGGACAGCCCCUUUAACUAAGGAUACAUCCUUUAAAGAGGAUAAUAAAACAGAAGGUAUAAAUUUUAGUGGGCCUAAAAGCAGUCACCUUAGAAAGCGUUAUAGCUCAAAUUUUUAUCUACCAUAAAUUUUAUAACUAAUUAGAUUCCCCAAAUUUUAUCGAGUAAACUUAUACAAUUAUAAGUGUAAUAAUGCUAGAAUGAGUAAUAAGAAAAACCGCUUUUCUCCUGACACAAGUGUUAGUUAGAACGGACUACCCACUGACUGUUAUUGAUAGAUUAUUAUAAUUACCUUUUGUAAGCAAGAGAUACAUAUAAUAUUUAACAUAAACUCAACACAGAAGUGUAUUAGAAAGGUUAAAAGAUAAAGAAGGAACUCGGCAAACAAAAGCCUCGCCUGUUUACCAAAAACAUCGCCUUUUGUCUAAUAAAAAUAAAAGGUACUGCCUGCCCUGUGACUAUGGUUCAACGGCCGCGGUAUUUUGACCGUGCGAAGGUAGCGUAAUCACUUGUCUCUUAAAUGGGGACCUGUAUGAAUGGCAAAACGAGGGCUUAACUGUCUCCUUUAUUCAACCAGUGAAAUUGAGCUUUCUGUACAAAAGCAGAAAUAUUUACAUAAGACGAGAAGACCCUGUGGAGCUUUAGACUCUAACACUUACUAAAAUAUUAACAAAACGAGCCCUAGUGUUAAAUGUCUUUGGUUGGGGUGACCGCGGAGAAAAGCUAAACCUCCGUAAUGAAUGGCUAGACCUAACUUAAGAGAGACAGCUCUAAAAAUAGAAUCUCUAACACAAUUGAUCCAGGAAACUGAUCAAUGAACCAAGUUACCCCAGGGAUAACAGCGCAAUCCCCCCUAAGAGCCCCAAUCGACGGGGGGGUUUACGACCUCGAUGUUGGAUCAGGACAUCCUGAUGGUGCAGCCGCUAUCAAGGGUUUGUUUGUUCAACAAUUAAUAGUCCUACGUGAUCUGAGUUCAGACCGGAGAAAUCCAGGUCAGUUUCUAUCUAUGAUUAUCUUUUCUUAGUACGAAAGGACCAGAAAAGACGGGCCAAUAUUUUUAUAUGCCCGGCCUAUAUUUACUGAAUUAAUAUAAAGUAAGUAAAUAGGCCAAAAAAACCAGAAGAUAACUGGCA